rnacentral:rRNA from 1 species
UGGGGAAUUUUCCGCAAUGGGGGCAACCCUGACGGAGCAACGCCGCGUGCGGGAGGAAGGCCUUUGGGUUGUAAACCGCUUUUCUCAGGGAAGAAGCUCUGACGGUACCUGAGGAAUCAGCCUCGGCUAACUCCGUGCCAGCAGCCGCGGUAAUACGGAGGAGGCAAGCGUUAUCCGGAAUUAUUGGGCGUAAAGCGUUCGCAGGUGGUUAUUCAAGUCCGCUGUCAAAGACCGGGGCUUAACCCUGGAGAGGCAGUAGAAACUGAAAAACUAGAGACCGGUAGGGGUAGAGGGAAUUCCCAGUGUAGCGGUGAAAUGCGUAGAGAUUGGGAAGAACACCAGUGGCGAAAGCGCUCUACUGGGCCGGUACUGACACUCAGGGACGAAAGCUAGGGUAGCGAAAGGGAUUAGAUACCCCCGUAGUCC